rnacentral:snRNA from 2 species
AUACUAACAAUGCACUAGAGGAACUGUGAUCACGAAGGCAGGCCUCUCGGUCUGGCUCCAGUCAUUGCACAUUCUGAUCUGGAGCCAUUCUGCGUGGAUCCCGACAGGGUACGCGGUGCAAAAUUUUUGAUAGUUGGGUAGACCUGCGUUCGCGCUCGUCCAC